rnacentral:tRNA from 1 species
GCAGUAGUAGUUCAGCGGAUGGAGCCCUCGCUCGGUAUGCGAAAGACCCGGGUUCGACUCCCAGCUGCUCCG